rnacentral:lncRNA from 1 species
AAUCAAAGUACCAUAUUUUGUAUAACGUGAACUGGCGUGACAUCAUCAUCUCAUAGGAUAAGAUUACCCUCAAGUAAUUUCACUUAUAUAAAGUUGAUAAAAACUCAUUAACCUCAUGAUUUUAUAUAUUUUGUUAUAAUUUAUACAACUUGUGAUAUAAGUUUUUUUAUAGGUACCGUAUUGUCAUAUGUUAACAUAAUCUUGAUAUAUGGUGCCCAACUUGCAAGAAUGUGUGCAUAGGGCAUAAGCACUAUGCUUUCACAUAUUCAAAGAAUAUAGUUGGCAAUUUUCUUCCAAGUUGUACACGCCAAAUCCAAAUUAAUAUCUACAGCCUAGCAAUAUAAUGAUGACAUUCUUGAUGUAGACAGCGUUAAUUUAGAAGUCAAGAAAUUUAUCAAAAUGACGCAUUUUCUUGUUAUGACUUAUGAUAGGGACGUCAAAAUGUGUUCAUCACUCCGAACCUAGAAAAACCCACCAUUCAAUUGGAGAAGAGCAUGAUCUUCGUCGACCGCGUGAGCCUUGUCGACCUUCCCUAUUUUUAAGAAGAGAAGAAAGGAAUGAACAAUGACCAACACUUUGACUUUAUUUUAACUCAUUAGAUUCGAUAGCAGGUUUAUUAAUUGCACAUAAUAUCUCGAAUGAGAAGUUAAAAAAUCGCAUUCGUGGAUUUAAACCUCAAGUGAUGGUUGGUUAGAUGGUACUUCUCUCUCCUUAAUGGUCAAGUCUUCACAUUUUUACAUUCAAAUAGUAGUUGGCUUCAUAAACUUAUUUACAUCUUCCAUGAGACCCCAAUGGGACACCAAAAUCUUCCCUUUUUAAUCAGUUAUAUAUUGUGAGAUUCCAAAAGUUCAAUGCAUAGAUGCCGUGCAGUGGCCACGCCCAAUUAUUCCAAUAUUUAUAAAUGGAUUUUGGCAUUUUUCAAAUUUUUACAGUGCAUCAGAAUCUCAAUCUCUCCUGCAACUGUUCAGACACAACAAAAUAUCAUCGUCCCAAUAAAUUACGAGAAGACAAAAUUUAUGGGGUAUAUAUGACAAAUAUUGGAUUAUAAUAUCAUGAUUUUUCUUAUGGUUUUUGCAAAUUUGAUCUAUUCCUCCAAAAUAUAUAAC